rnacentral:rRNA from 1 species
GACGAACGCUGGCGGCGUGCUUAACACAUGCAAGUCGAACGGAAAGGCCCUGCUUUUGUGGGGUGCUCGAGUGGCGAACGGGUGAGUAACACGUGAGUAACCUGCCCUUGACUGUGGGAUAACUUCAGGAAACUGGGGCUAAUACCGGAUAGGAGCUCCUGCUGCAUGGGGGGGGUUGGAAAGUUUCGGCGGUUUUGGAUGGACUCGCGGCUUAUCAGCUUGUUGGUGGGGUAGUGGCUUACCAAGGCUUUGACGGGUAGCCCGCCUGGGAGGGUGACCGGCCACAAUAGGACUACGAUACGGACCAGACUCCUACGGGAGGCAGCAGUGGGGAAUAUUGCACAAUGGGCCGAAGCCUGAUGCGGCAACGCCGCGUGCGUGAUGCCGUCUUUCGGGUUGUAAACCGCUUUCGCCUGAGACGAAGCGGGAGUGACGGUAAUGGGUAAAGAAGCACCGGCUAACUACGUG